GUCGACGAACUCUGGUAUUGAUUGGUGCUUGCAUCAUGAUUUACAUUUGAGUGAGUGGCGAACUGGUGAGUAACACGUGGGAAACCUGCCCAGAAGCGGGGGAUAACACCUGGAAACAGAUGCUAAUACCGCAUAACAACUUGGACCGCAUGGUCCGAGCUUGAAAGAUGGCUUCGGCUAUCACUUUUGGAUGGUCCCGCGGCGUAUUAGCUAGAUGGUGGGGUAACGGCUCACCAUGGCAAUGAUACGUAGCCGACCUGAGAGGGUAAUCGGCCACAUUGGGACUGAGACACGGCCCAAACUCCUACGGGAGGCAGCAGUAGGGAAUCUUCCACAAUGGACGAAAGUCUGAUGGAGCAACGCCGCGUGAGUGAAGAAGGGUUUCGGCUCGUAAAACUCUGUUGUUAAAGAAGAACAUAUCUGAGAGUAACUGUUCAGGUAUUGACGGUAUUUAACCAGAAAGCCACGGCUAACUACGUGCCAGCAGCCGCGGUAAUACGUAGGUGGCAAGCGUUGUCCGGAUUUAUUGGGCGUAAAGCGAGCGCAGGCGGUUUUUUAAGUCUGAUGUGAAAGCCUUCGGCUCAACCGAAGAAGUGCAUCGGAAACUGGGAAACUUGAGUGCAGAAGAGGACAGUGGAACUCCAUGUGUAGCGGUGAAAUGCGUAGAUAUAUGGAAGAACACCAGUGGCGAAGGCGGCUGUCUGGUCUGUAACUGACGCUGAGGCUCGAAAGUAUGGGUAGCAAACAGGAUUAGAUACCCUGGUAGUCCAUACCGUAAACGAUGAAUGCUAAGUGUUGGAGGGUUUCCGCCCUUCAGUGCUGCAGCUAACGCAUUAAGCAUUCCGCCUGGGGAGUACGGCCGCAAGGCUGAAACUCAAAGGAAUUGACGGGGGCCCGCACAAGCGGUGGAGCAUGUGGUUUAAUUCGAAGCUACGCGAAGAACCUUACCAGGUCUUGACAUACUAUGCAAAUCUAAGAGAUUAGACGUUCCCUUCGGGGACAUGGAUACAGGUGGUGCAUGGUUGUCGUCAGCUCGUGUCGUGAGAUGUUGGGUUAAGUCCCGCAACGAGCGCAACCCUUAUUAUCAGUUGCCAGCAUUAAGUUGGGCACUCUGGUGAGACUGCCGGUGACAAACCGGAGGAAGGUGGGGAUGACGUCAAAUCAUCAUGCCCCUUAUGACCUGGGCUACACACGUGCUACAAUGGAUGGUACAACGAGUUGCGAACUCGCGAGAGUAAGCUAAUCUCUUAAAGCCAUUCUCAGUUCGGAUUGUAGGCUGCAACUCGCCUACAUGAAGUCGGAAUCGCUAGUAAUCGCGGAUCAGCAUGCCGCGGUGAAUACGUUCCCGGGCCUUGUACACACCGCCCGUCACACCAUGAGAGUUUGUAACACCCAAAGUCGGUGGGG
rnacentral:rRNA from 2 species